rnacentral:lncRNA from 1 species
CCAUAACAAAAAUGAAGGAACCCAUAACAAAAAUGAAGGAACCCAUAACAAAAAGAAAGGAACCCAUAACAAAAAGGAAGUAACCCAUAACAAAAAGGAAGGAACCCAUAACAAUAAGAAAGGAACCAAUAACAAAAAAACAAACAUAAAUGCUAAUAAAGGUUUACCAUUUAAAGAUUAUCCAGAAUACGAAAGAAGAGGUAAUAAUGAUUUUUAUGAAAUUUAUAGAACAAAGGAGGAUGUAGAAGAAGAAGAAGCAAUUACUUGGUGUUACAUUAGAAGUAUAUACCAACUAAAAAAAAAGGAACUACAAUACACUAAGGAUAUCAACGCCAACAUGAAUGAUAUCAAAGAAGACAUAAACAAACUUCUAGUAUUACUAAAAACGGGGGACGUCUAUUUAAAAGAAUUUUGUUAUAAAUUAUACGAAAGCGAAUUAAAAAGAAAAAAAAAAAAAGGUACAGGUAGUAUAAACACAUUAUAUUUGGAUGAAGAAAAUAUAUAUAUUAACAACAUAUAUAACACAAAUAUACAAAAUGUAAACUUUUAUUCGAGAGUAAUAAGUGGUAAGAUUUGUGAAUACAAAGUAAAAUAUAGUAAAAUAAAUAAUAUAGUUACCUUUCAGGAAUUUGAUGGUACUAUUUAUGCAUUUAAAAUGCCAAACGAUACAAUUUUUCAUUUUACAACACAAAAUAAUAACAUUUUUAGUCAUAGUGAAAUAGUUAAAAACAAAAAACAAAGUGGUGAAAAUAUAAUGGACACUAUCGGUUUUGAAAGUAGUAAUAAUAAUAGCAAUUAUUUAUAUAUCAUAAGUAACAACAAUGACAGUAAUAAUAACAAUAGCAGUAAUAGCAAUAUAAAUAUAGAAAUUAUAGACACACAAAAGGUAACAGAUAAGAAAACCGAGUUUUUGGUACAUAAGAAACUUGUUCGUAUAUUUUAUAGUAAUAAUCAUUUGUUUUUGGUAAACUUGUUAGAUCAUGAUAAAAAAAAAAAUUGUAAUCAAAUGCGCUAUUUUACAUACUCUAUUUAUAAGAACAAUGUUAAUGAACCAAUUCGAUUGUUGUAUAUAUCUCCUAUCCACCCCAUGUAUUCAGAUGAUAUGAUAAAUAAUGACACAUAUAAACUAUUUUCAAAAUGUAGAUACUUUUAUGAACAAGAUAAAUGUUUUAUUUGGUCAGAUGAACUAACAAACACAGGUUAUUCUCCUCAAGGGUGCAACAAAUUAAAUGAUAUACCGAACAUGAAUAUCAUACACAUAAAUACCUGUGUCCCUGUUUGCAUAGCUUAUAAUUGUAUCACUGAAAGUUAUUUCUUCUUUCAUAUACUAUAUAAUAUAAAGAAAUGUGAUAAAUCAUUUAUUCAGUUAAAUGAUUAUCACAAAAACAUGAAAAUCAAAAAUUAUAUAAAAUUAUAUAACUUUUUGAUAAUAAAAAGAAAUAAAUUUUGUUAUCAAAACAAAGUUUAUCAGGAUAUAAAUUUCAAUACUGAAAUUUAUAAACCUACAGUUGUAUUCUCUGGUGGAACAAAAUCACUCCACCAGAAAAUUAAAUUGUGUAUUUAUGAUAAUAUAAACAAUAUAUUGUUAUUAAUACCAAUUUAUCAUAAGUAUGUAAAGUAUAAGAUUAAAAUAAUUACAAAUAUAAUAAAUUUUGUAGGUAUUAGCUUAUCCAGAGAGCUAUCGUUAUUAAAAUAUUACCCUGUUAAUAUAUGUGCUUAUAUAAAUAAUCAAAUUAAUACAACUUAUUUAAACAUCCGACACAGAUACAUGGACAUUAAUAGUAUUUCAAUAAAUGUGUGUACAUCAGAUGUUAAUGCGAACGAUUUGAAAGAAAUGUUUAAUAAAAAAAAAAAUAUACUAAAAAAUAGUGGUAAUAUACAUGGUUUUUAUAGAAAGGACAUUAAAAAUAUAGCAAAAAGUAAUAUCAAUACCGGUUCUGACUGCAUGGAAACAUGCAAUAUUAUCGAUAUAAACAAAUUAAAUAACUUCAUAAUAAUUUUAAACAAAAAUGGGCAAUUAUAUUUAUGUUCAGACAAUAAGUACAUUUCCAGAGUUUCCUUAUAUAACAAUAAUGAAAAUGUAUGUAAUAUAUACAACUCUAACUUAAGUAAUGCUAC